GGAAUUAACCCUGACUGGUCAGCAUACUAUUUAACUUUGGACCUCCCUCUGAAAUUAUCCAAUUACUCAGCCCAUCUGACCUAUGGCUAUGACUUUUUUCAAUCAACAAUAAUAAGUUCCUGCCUGCCUCCAUCUCCUAUCUGUUUCUCUAGGUCAGCCUUUUCCAUGUGGUCUGCUCUCUGUGUGACAGCUAAGCAUAUGCUGUGCUGAGACUCUUCCCUCCCCUAGUGGGUCUACAUCUGGGAUUUGAUCUCGACACGGCUCACGCCCCCAACCAUCUACUCCGUUUGUGCAAGACUAUCACCCUCCACGGG